rnacentral:rRNA from 1 species
AUUGAACGCUGGCGGCAUGCUUUACACAUGCAAGUCGAACGGUAACAGCCUGCAAGUUCUUGCUGAUUGCGGACGGGUGGGGUAUUGAUCCGAACCGUGCCCGGCGGUGGGGGUUACUUCUCCAAAAGGUAGCUAAUAACGCAUACCGAUCUAGGGUUAAAAGCGGGGGCCGGAAAGGCUUCGGCGGAUUGAACGGGCGGGUGUCAGAUUAGGUAGUUGGUGGGGUAAAGGCUCACCAAGCCAACGAUCUGUAGCUGGUCUGAGAGGACGACCAGCCACACUGGGACUGAGACACGGCCCAGACUCCUACGGGAGGCAGCAGUGGGGAAUUUUGGACAAUGGGCGCAAGCCUGAUCCAGCAAUGCCGCGUGCAGGAAGAAGGCCUUCGGGUUGUAAACUGCUUUUGUACGGAACGAAACGGCUCUGGUUAAUACCCGGGGCUAAUGACGGUACCGUAAGAAUAAGCACCGGCUAACUACGUG